GGCCAGUUAGCUCAGUCAGUUGAGCAUGGCGUUAACAACACCAAGGUUGCGGGUUCAAUUCCUGUUUGGUCC
rnacentral:tRNA from 1 species